rnacentral:lncRNA from 10 species
UUAGCUGAGAGAGGAGGCCUCAACAAUAUAAAGCGCAGGGAGCUGGGGAGCGGCAAGCCAGUGGGAAUGGGCACCUGGCCAUAAGUCAGAGAAGGGGAAGGAGAGUUACUUUAUUCUCUUCUGGUGCCAGUAAGAACUUUAUCAAGGUACUAGUGCCAUCAGCUCCUGCCCAAGGGCACCCAGGGCCCCAGGUCAGCAUGACGGAUUUAAGACACAUUACGUUCUGGGAAGACGGCUAGGAAGGGAGAUUGGAGACAGACAUGGGGAGAAGGCCAUGUGAAGACGGAGGCAGGAACUCCUGUGAUGCGG